rfam:Caprimulgus carolinensis contig85659, whole genome shotgun sequence.
GUCGCUUCUCGGCCUUUUGGCUAAGAUCAAGUGUAGUAUCUGUGAAAGUACUGCUUUUGUCUGAAAAGGGAAGGGAACGGAUGCAGUUUUCCCCUAAGCCUCU